GGAUUGUGGCUCAGUGGUAGAUCAUUUGCCUUGCAUGUGUGAGGCCCUGGGUUCGGUCCUCAGCACCA
rnacentral:tRNA from 1 species